rnacentral:rRNA from 1 species
CCUACGGGAGGCAGCAGUCGAGACUCAUUCUCAAUGGGGGAAACCCUGAUGGUGCGACGCCGCGUGGGGGAAUGAAGGUCUUCGGGUUGUAAACCUCUGUCAUGUGGGAGCAAAUUCCAGAGAUAGUACCCUAUGAGGAUGCGACGGCUAACUCUGUGCCAGCAGGCGCAGUAAUACAGAGGUCUCAAGCGUUGUUCGGAAUCACUGGGCGUAAAGCGUGCGUUGGAUGGUUCCUAAGUCGUGUGUUAAAGGCGUGGGGUCAAACCGCGGACAGCACAUGAUACUGCGGGACUAGAGUAAGGGAGGGGGAACCGGAAUGCUCGGUGUAGCAGUGAAAUGCAUAGAUAUCGAGAGGAACACUGGUGGCGAAGGCGGGUUCCUGGACAUUAACUGACGCUGAGGCACGAAGGCCAGGGGAGCGAAAGGGAUUAGAUACCCGUGUAGUC